rnacentral:rRNA from 1 species
UACGAGGGGGGCAAGCGUUGUUCGGAAUUAUUGGGCGUAAAGGGCGCGUAGGCGGUGCGGUAAGUCACCUGUGAAAACUCUGGGCUCAACUCAGAGCCUGCAGGCGAAACUGCCGUGCUUGAGUGUGGGAGAGGUGCGUGGAAUUCCCGGUGUAGCGGUGAAAUGCGUAGAGAUGUGGAGGAACACCGAUGGCGAAGGCAGCCUUCUGGGCCAACAUUGACGCUCAUGCACGAAAGCGUGGGGAGCAAACAGG